CGAAUCCUGGGCACGGACAUGGCACCGCUCAUCAGGCCACGUUGAGGCGGCGUCACACAUGCCACAACUAGAAGGACCUGCAACUAAGAUAUACAACUAUGUACCAGGGGAAUUUGGGGAGAUAUAGCAGAAAAAAAAAAAAAAGAAAAAGAAGGAUCGGCAACAGUUGUUAGCUCUGGUGCCAAUCUUUAAAAAAACAACAACAAAAAAAAUAUUAUCACUUUCUAGAGUUCCAAUGCAGAAAUUACAAGAGUGUGCUUGAGAUCUGCCUUGCUGAAGCAUUUGCUAAGAUGUAGCUUUAAAAAGUACAAUCAAAAUGGGAAGAAGUUAGAGAUUUAGCACAUAUAAUCAGUUUUCAUUUGAUGAAUGAAUAAAAGAAUUAACUGAAAAGGAGCAUGAUUGUAGCUUUAGGUGGGAUUGAGGAGAAUAGGUUAAAACUGUCAAGAACUGUGAAGAGUCUGAGAUUUUACCUUACUUACAAACUGACAAAUUAGCCCGCAGAAGUCAGGAGCUCUUGCAUCAGAGACAAAGGUCCUAAUUGCCCAUGGCACAGCCAGCCAUGCAAGCAUCAUUUUUGCUUCAGUUACCUUACUCUCCAAGUGCCACGGGAGUGAUAUAGAAGGGCCAGGUGGAUCCUGCACACGCAGUAGGUUUGCAUCACAGCUGAGGAACACUGAACUUAGGAAACGCAAAUCUUUUACAAUGAGCAGUAAGCAAACCUGUCCGAUCUUUGCUCAAGAGGAAGACACUAUUUUAUUAUCUGGACAGUAAGCACACUUGCAUCCUUUAAAAGAUCAUCCAGAACAAAAAGGCAGUCAGUGCUUCUGCUCACAGGAUAUUCAAAAAAUGCAAAAGAUCUAUGGAGAAUUGUCUCCGUACAAGUGGAGGACAGAAAGGUUCACUGAAUAAGUACAUGGGAAGAACAACAAGAAUUCAGAGGUGAAGGAAUAUAACACAGCAGUAAAUACAGUAAGUGAGAAGAAAAGAAUAUAGCUUCUUUGCAGAAGAAUUAGCAAAAUCUAUUAUGAUCUGAGGGUCUGAAUCUUUGGGAAAAGGGCUGAAAAGAAAGUAGGAGAGAAAGGAUCAAAUAAAACCACUCUCUAUUAGUUAUCUAUUGCUGCAUAAUAAAUUACCCCAAAACGUAGAGGCUUACAACAAUAAACAUCUACUAUCUCACAUAGCUUCAUGGGUCAGGAAUCUGGGGGCAGCUUAGCUGGGUGGUUCUAGUUCAGAGGCUCUCAUGAGGUUGCAGUCUGGAUGUCAGCUUGGGCUACUGUCUUCUGAAGGCUUGACUGGGGCUGGAAAAUCUGCUUCCAAGCUGACCAUUCAUUCUCAUGCCUGGGAAAUUAGUGCUGGGUGUUGUCAGGAAGCCUCAACUCUUCCCCACCUAGUCAUCUCCGUAAGGCUGUGUGAGUGUCCUCAUAACGCCUUUUGUGAUCCAGCCUCAGAAGACACACAGUCGCUCCUGCCAUAUUCUAUUCAUUAGAAUCAAGUCAUUAAGUCCAGCUCACACUCAAGCGGAGGAGAAUUAAGCUCUGCAUCUUAAAGGGUAGAAUAUCAAAGACUUGUGGAUAUAUUUUAAAACCACCACACAUCCAAGUUUGC
ensembl:lncRNA